rnacentral:rRNA from 1 species
UACGUAGGGUGCGAGCGUUGUCCGGAAUUAUUGGACGUAAAGAGCUCGUAGGCGGUUUGUCGCGUCGACUGUGAAAACCUACAGCUUAACUGUGGGCUUGCAGUCGAUACGGGCAGACUUGAGUUCGGUAGGGGAGACUGGAAUUCCUGGUGUAGCGGUGAAAUGCGCAGAUAUCAGGAGGAACACCGGUGGCGAAGGCGGGUCUCUGGGCCGAUACUGACGCUGAGGAGCGAAAGCGUGGGGAGCGAACAGG